rnacentral:rRNA from 1 species
GACGAACGCUGGCGGCGUGCCUACUACAUGCAAGUAGGACGCAGUUGCGAACGGGUGAGUAACGCGUAGGUAACUGCCUCUUAGUGGGGGAUAACUAUUGGAAACGAUAGCUAAUACCGCAUACUAGUAGAUGGACCUGCGUUGUAUUAGCUAGUAGGUAGGGUAAUGGCCUACCUAGGCGACGAUACAUAGCCGACCUUGUCGGUGGAUCGGCCACACUGGGACUUAGACACGGCCCAGACUCCGUCGGGAGGCAGCAGUAGGGAAUCUUCGGCCAUGGGGUGAACCCUGACCGAGCACCGCCGCGUGAGUGAAGAAGGUUUUCGGAUCGUAAAGCUCUGUUGUUAAGGAAGCGGUACUUAACCAGAAAGGGCCGGCUAACUACGUGCCAGCAGCCGCGGUAAUUC